rnacentral:rRNA from 1 species
UACGAAGGGGGCUAGCGUUGUUCGGAAUUACUGGGCGUAAAGGGCGCGUAGGCGGUCCUGAUCGUCGGAUGUGAAAUCCCCGGGCUUAACCUGGGAAUUGCAUUUCAAACUGGCCGACUAGAGUACGGUAGAGGGAGGUAGAAUUUCCUGUGUAGCGGUGAAAUGCGUAGAUAUAGGAAGGAAUACCAGUGGCGAAGGCGGCCUCCUGGAUCGAUACUGACGCUGAGGCGCGAAAGCGUGGGGAGCAAACAGG